rnacentral:rRNA from 1 species
AUUUGACCUCAGCUCAGUCGUGAUUACCCGCUGAAUUUAAGCAUAUAAUUAAGCGGAGGAAAAGAAACUAACGAGGAUUCCCAUAGUAACGGCGAGUGAAAUGGGAAAAGCCCAGCGCUGAAUCCAUCGAUCACUGGUCGCUUGGAAUUGUAGCGUAUAGGUGCGGCUGUCCGCUCGUUUCGUGCACCCAAAGUCCCCUUGAGCGGGGCCAUAGUCCAAAGAAGGUGCUAGACCUGUACGGGUGGCGAGACGGUCGGUUGGUCGCUCCUUGGAGUCGGGUUGCCUGGGAUCGCAGCCCAAAGUUGGUGGUAGACCUCAUCUAAGGCUAAAUAUGGCCACGAAACCGAUAGCAAACAAGUACCGUGAGGGAAAGUUGCAAAGAACUUUGAAGAGAGAGUUCAAGAGGGCGUGAAACCGCCGAGAUUGAAACGGAUAGAGUUGACGAAACUCGAUCGCAUUCAUCCGAUCCGCCUAGCGGUUCGGCGGUUGUUGACUUCCUCGAUGAGGGCAACGCCGUCGCUGGCUGUUGGGUGUUAGAUGGGUGUAUUUGCGGUCGGUAUGCGCCGAGAGCUUUGCGAACGCAUGUUGGCGUUGAUGUAGUGGACCACUCCCUCCGGGCGUGGAACCCUGCACUGACUGAGGCAUGUCGUUUGUAGGGUGUUGCUGGUUGACGUCUCCGCUAUGGUGCGUCGGCUUUGUCGGACUGUUGUGGCUACUGGGUGAUCGCAUGCGAGCGCCUGUGGUUUAUGAUCGUACGAUGAGGUGCAGACGCGCUUGAGACGUGCAUCUCGGUGUGAACGUUGACCACCUAUCCGACCCGUCUUGUAACACGGACCAAGGAGUCUAGCAUAUGCGCGAGUCAUUGGGUGGUAAACCUAAAGGCGUAAUGAAAGUAAAGGCUGUCUUGUUACGGCUGAUAUGGGAUCUGUGUGGCUUUCGAGCCAUACGGCGCACCAUAGCCCCGUCCCGGUUGCUUGCAAUGGGGCGGAGGUAGAGCGCAUACGCUGGGACCCGAAAGAUGGUGAACUAUGCCUGAGCAGGAUGAAGCCAGAGGAAACUCUGGUGGAAGUCCGAAGCGGUUCUGACGUGCAAAUCGAUCGUCUGACUUGGGUAUAGGGGCGAAAGACUAAUCGAACCAUCUAGUAGCUGGUUCCCUCUGAAGUUUCCCCCAGGAUAGCUGGAGUUUAUUGUUAGCAGUUAUAUUCGGUAAAGCGAAUGACUAGAGGAAUUGGGGACGAAACGACCUCAACCUAUUCUCAAACUUUCAAUGGGUAUGAAGUCCCGCUUGCUUGACGUUGCUGAAGCGAGGACAUUGAAUGUGAGCUCCAAGUGGGCCAUUUUUGGUAAGCAGAACUGGCGCUGUGGGAUGAACCAAACGUCGGGUUAAAGUGCCAAACUUCCCGCUCAUGAGACCCCAUGAAAGGCGUUGGUUGAUAUAGACAGCAGGACGGUGGCCAUGGAAGUCGGAAACCGCUAAGGAGUGUGUAACAACUCACCUGCCGAAUCAACUAGCCCUGAAAAUGGAUGGCGCUUGAGCGGGAGACUUAUACCCGACCGUUGCUCGGCUUGUGUGUUCCGUAAGGAAUUCGCCUGGCCGCAACGAGUAAGAGGGUCGCAGUGGUUUGCGUCGAAGGCUUUGGGCGUAGGCCCGGCUGGAGCUUCCACUGGUGCAGAUCUUGGUGGUAGUAGCAAAUAUUCAAGUGAGAUCCUUGAAGACUGAAGUGGAGAAGGGUUCCACGUGAACAGCAGUUGAAUGUGGGUCAGUCGGCCCUAAGAUACUGGCUAAUGCCUUGUGUUAUCGAGAGACGGAGUUCAAAUCCAUCUCGUUUAUCGAAAGGGAAACGGGUUAAUAUUCCCGUACCUGGACACGGAGAUAAGCGCUCAUUGCGAGUGUUUAGCGCGGCAACGCAAACGAACUCGGUGACGCUGAAUAGAGCCCGAGCUAGAGUUCUCUUUUCUAGUUAAGGAACGGACUCCCUGGAAUCGGUUCAGCCGGAGAUAGGGACGUUGUUUCCGUAAAGCGCCACGGUUCCUGUGGUGUCUCGUGCGCUCUAUUCGGCCCUUGAAAAGCCGAGGGAGGCUAUUUGAAUUUCGUGCCAGGCCGUACCGAUAUCCGCAGCAGGUCUCCAAGGUGAACAGCCUCUAGUCGAUAGAAUAAUGUAGGUAAGGGAAGUCGGCAAAUUAGAUCCGUAACUUCGGGAAAAGGAUUGGCUCUAAGGACUGGGCCGGUCGGGCUGCAGUGUGAAGCGAGUUCGGUUUGAUCCAUGCAGUGCAACGCUCGGCAACGGGUGGCGCUCGGCUAGUGUUCGAACUGUCUUGUGGACCGCUGCAGCUGCGUACCGCGUCCUCGCAGGCGUUGGUGCUUCGGCCGGCGCUAAACAGUUGACUUAGAACUGGCACGGACUCGGGGAAUCCGACUGUCUAAUUAAAACAGAGGAGACAGAUGGCCCUUGCGGGCGUUGACUGUCUCUGAUUUCUGCCCAGUGCUCUGAAUGUAAAAGUGAAGAAAUUCAACCAAGCGCGGGUAAACGGCGGGAGUAACUAUGACUCUCUUAAGGUAGCCAAAUGCCUCGUCAUCUAAUUAGUGACGCGCAUGAAUGGAUGAACGAGAUUCCCACUGUCCCU